rnacentral:piRNA from 1 species
UGAAGGACCUGGAGAUUGAACUCAGGUGU